rnacentral:rRNA from 1 species
GGAUGAGUUGUGGGUAGGGGUGAAAGGCCAAUCAAACUCCGUGAUAGCUGGUUCUCCCCGAAAUGCAUUUAGGUGCAGCGUCGCGUGUUUCACUCUGGAGGUAGAGCUACUGGAUGGCCGAUGGGCCCUACAAGGUUACUGACGUCAGCCAAACUCCGAAUGCCAGGGUGUGAGAGCGCGGCAGUGAGACUGCGGGGGAUAAGCUUCGUAGUCGAGAGGGAAACAGCCCAGAUCGCCGGCUAAGGCCCCUAAGCGUGUACUAAGUGGAAAAGGAUGUGGGAUCGCUGAGACAACCAGGAGGUUGGCUUAGAAGCAGCCACCCUUGAAAGAGUGCGUAAUAGCUCACUGGUCAAGUGGUCCUGCGCCGACAAUGUAGCGGGGCUCAAGUACACCGCCGAAGCCGCGGCAUUCGCAUAACACACGCAUUGUCCUGCGGGAUGGUGUGCAGUGGUGUGGAUGGGUAGGGGAGCGUCGUGUGGCCGUGGAAGCAGCAGUGUGAACUAGUUGUGGAGGCCAUGCGAGUGAGAAUGCAGGCAUGAGUAGCGAAAGACGAGUGAGAAACUCGUCCGCCGAAUGACCAAGGGUUCCUGGGCCAGGUUAAUCCGCCCAGGGUGAGUCGGGACCUAAGGCGAGGCCGACAGGCGUAGUCGAUGGACAACGGGUUGAUAUUCCCGUACCCGUGUGAACGCGCCCCUGAUGAAUCACUGGUACUAACCAUCCUGAAGAUUCCUUUUUCCCUUCGGGGGAUUGGGGGUUGGAUGCAUGGGACCUUCGGUGGUAGUAGUCAAGCGAUGGGGUGACGCAGGAAGGUAGCUGGGCCGGCUGGUGGAAUAGCCGGUGUAAGCCUGUAGGGCGAGUGGUAGGCAAAUCCGCCACUCAUAUGGCCUGAGAGGUGAUGCGUAGCCGUUGUGGUGAAUUCAGUGAUCCUAUGCUGCCGAGAAAAGCCUCUAGCGAGCUUUCACAUGGCCCGUACCCCAAACCGACACAGGUGGUCAGGUAGAGAAUACUGAGGCGAUCGAGAUAACUGUGGUUAAGGAACUCGGCAAAAUGCCCCCGUAACUUCGGGAGAAGGGGGACCUUGUCUGGUGAUGAGUCUUGCACUCUGAGCUGGGUGGGGUCGCAGAGACCAGAGAGAAGCGAC